ACGGUAUGAGGAACAUCCCCUGCAUGGAGCGGAUUCUUUCGGCGGCCGGCAGAUUACGGCAGUGGUGUGAUUGUUUUAUCCUUUUUCGUUUUAAUUGCUAUUCCCGCCGUUUCUUUUCUUGCCGGUCAUGUCGCCCGAAAUGGUAUCCCAGCGCCGUGGACGGAGCUGAGGCACAGGACCUGCUACGGCAGAUGACGUCUCUCGGUACGCUAUACUGUCGGAAUUGCUCAGCAGCACCUCCGCCGUCCUCGGACACCCAGCUGCGCCUGAACAUGACGCAACCGACAUUUUCUAGCCACAGCGACCGCACAAGACUUCCUCAUCGCAAACUGCCGUUAGACUCACCGACGAAGCCUUCCUGCGCGUAGAGUACUACCAGCAGCUCCUGGUUGACUGUGGUCUUUCCGGUGACAUCUUGCACUUUCCAGACGUUUGCAAAGGUGGGAGAGAGUGUGGCGAGGUGUUAUCAUUGAUAGCCUCCUCUUACACGCGGUCUCCCUUUUCGACUGCGAGGGAACAUGACUCUUGUGUCAUCAUAGCGCGGAAAAUAAAUGCAUCUUGACGACUGUUGCUAGCAUUGACAGAUUACGACGCAGUGGUCUGCAGGGAACCGCGCAGUAUGCGAAUAAACAUGUUGGUUAACCUGA